AUUGAACGCUGGCGGCAGGCCUAACACAUGCAAGUCGAGCGGUAACACAGGAGAGCUUGCUCUCUGGGUGACGAGCGGCGGACGGGUGAGUAAUGUCUGGGAAACUGCCUGAUGGAGGGGGAUAACUACUGGAAACGGUAGCUAAUACCGCAUGACCUCGCAAGGGCAAAGUGGGGGACCUUCGGGCCUCACGCCAUCGGAUGUGCCCAGAUGGGAUUAGCUAGUAGGUGAGGUAAUGGCUCACCUAGGCGACGAUCCCUAGCUGGUCUGAGAGGAUGACCAGCCACACUGGAACUGAGACACGGUCCAGACUCCUACGGGAGGCAGCAGUGGGGAAUAUUGCACAAUGGGCGCAAGCCUGAUGCAGCCAUGCCGCGUGUGUGAAGAAGGCCUUCGGGUUGUAAAGCACUUUCAGCGAGGAGGAAGGCGUUGUAGUUAAUAGCUGCAACGAUUGACGUUACUCGCAGAAGAAGCACCGGCUAACUCCGUGCCAGCAGCCGCGGUAAUACGGAGGGUGCAAGCGUUAAUCGGAAUUACUGGGCGUAAAGCGCACGCAGGCGGUUUGUUAAGUCAGAUGUGAAAUCCCCGAGCUUAACUUGGGAACUGCAUUUGAAACUGGCAAGCUAGAGUCUUGUAGAGGGGGGUAGAAUUCCAGGU
rnacentral:rRNA from 1 species